AGCUGCUGCUUGUGCUCACAUGCAUACAUAUGUACAUAUUAGAGGCCUGCAUGGGUAUGCUUGCUUGUGGUCGUCUUCCAAAUAUACUGAUACUUGCAAGUGUUUGAGCACACCAAGCAUUGCUGCAAAACGAAACGAAUGGUACUCGAAGUCGCCAAGUAUUCUGUUUUACUUUACUUCCUUCGCUUUAAGCAGAGUAAAACAAAAACCUUGACAAACGAAACGAAACAAAACGAAAAGCGAGUAACGUCAAAAAAAAUCGUACGGUACUUUUACUCCGCUUUGAGCGCCGUUGCUGAGCAAAAAUCAGGCUAGAAUUGGCUAAAAAUUGAAAAUAAAUGCUGGAAUAGCAACCUAGAUUAUAAAAACUAAUUGAUAUGUUUAGAAACUAACAUUUUUUCUUUUUUGCUGAAAUGCACAAUGUUUUAUAGUCUACUCAGUAAUAUGCUGCAAUAUUGAGUACUAUAUGAACUUGAAAAGAUUUAUGAUUGCUAGAUUUAUGGCUAUAGGCUAUAACGAAUUUUAUAGUAAAUAGCAUAAACUGGCAUCACUAUUUACAAAUUUUCGCCAUGUAUGCAUGUAUGUAUGCGUGCGAAAUUACGAUGUAUGCUGUAAAUACAUACAAAAUUGUCAAUGCCUUGAUUUCUGCUUUCCUUCAAUCUCUUUCGGUUAACUGUUUUUUUUUUUUUUUGCUUUCCUUUAAUCUCUUUCUGUGAGUUGUUAAGUUUGGGUCGCUUUUUUGUGCGUGCUAAAAUGAACAUUGAAGAAAAUUUUGAAACUAAUUCCGAAAAUCAUGGAAUAUUGGCAAACUCACAUAUGUACCAUCCAGCAAUAUGAUGCGAUCAAGACCAAAUUGCUGGAAGGAAUAUAUAAAUUUAAGAACAAAAGAGGACGGAGUGAAGUCUGGAACACGCUAGGAAUGGUAAUGGAUGAGAAUGGAGAAGAAUUAAAAAAUAUUGUUGGAUGCAAAAAAUGUUUCAAAAUUCUGAAGUACUCUAAUUGUACUUCCAAUUUAGUUAAACACAAAUGCUGUGUAGCAGCAAAGAACUUGUUAACUGAAACAAACGUCCCUGCAACACGUGUCGAUCCAGAAACCAAAAAGCUUAUUAACAUCCGGCUAUAGCAUCACAUCUGAUAUCUGGACGGACGAGUUCCUAAAGAGAUCAUAUAUAUCGUGCACAGUGCACUAUAUUAGAGACGGUGCAAUGCUCACCCGCCUGCUAGCACUGAAGUCGAUGGGAGAUGAAUCAAAUACAGGCGCAAACAUUAAGAAUAAAAUCACAAAAAUUUUGAAUGAUUAUAAUUUGGCAAUGGAUGACGACAAAGCCAUAGCAGUCACUGACCGAGGCUCCAACAUGAUUAACGCAUUUAAAAGUGGCAAUCACAUUCAUUGCAUAAAUCACCUAUUAAAUAAUGUUGUGGAGAAAGCAUUUAAAGAUAUUUUAGAACUAUCUGACCUGUUACUCAAUUGUAACAAGAUAGUAAAAUAUUUUAAAAAAUCUGGGAUAAAUUCCCAACUCAAUGUA